ensembl:lncRNA
CUGAAACCGCACAAAAUAUCAAGCUUGGGGGGUUCCCUGGUCCCCGGCGAUGGGGCGGAGAGCACGGCGCCAGGGAAGGGGGCGGGUGCGGCGGCGCGGGUCCCGCCGCCGGGGACACCUGGCUGAGGCACAGCUGCCGCUGCGCCGCACCACUUCGCGCGAGCCCCGGGCUGCGGUCCCUGCGCGGGCUCGAGAGCUCGCCCGACCCGGGGUCUUCCUCCUCCGUUGACAGGUUUUGACCUUUAAGAGAGCCAAUUCUGGAAAACAACCAAACUUCUUUGAUUGAAUACUCACAUGCGUUGGAACAUGAUUAGGAGAUUAAGGUUUAAUAAUAAAAUGAAGACCAUAGUAAAACAGCCUCCUUCUUAGCCCAGCAAUUCUUAUUUUUGUGAGUAUUAACUAUCAACCCCACUGCCAUUGCUAGUUAUUAAUUUAAUACAGUUUAGAGCUAAUAUUGCCUUGGGUAAGCUUUCUAUUGGGGGAAGUAUUUUAUAGCUAGGCCCUAUUAUCUAUGAGUAUGAGAAUCAAAAUUUUGAAUUUUUUUCCUUCAAAGGCAUUUGAAUAGUGGUCUUUUUUGUUCUCAUUAGUUGGGUUUAUCAAUCUUAGAGUUUUUAUAAAUUGAGAGUAUAGAGGGAUGUGGUUGCCACACACCUGUAAUCCCAGCACUCUGGAGGCUGAGCCAAGAGGAUCGCUGCAAGUUUGAGAUCAGUCUGAACUGCAUAGCAAGACCCUGUCUCUAAAUAAAUACAUAGAUAGAUACUGUAGUAUCCUUUCCAGUGCUCGCUUAGGCAGCACAUACACUAAAAUUCUAGUAACCUCUCCAGUUGAAGUCAUUUUUUUUUACAUUUCAUUAGAUAUCACUUCAGCCUUUUUGCGAGGAGCUUUACAUUUAGCUAUUAAAACUUCAGGAGGUAGGAAAAACAAGAAAGCAAUCCCUUUUCCUUCCUUUCAUACAUACAAUGGACCCCCAAAAUUGGCAGGGCUUACAUCCAUCCCUAGUGCAACUGUGAAUUGUGAAAAACCACACAUUUCAGAUAUGAUCAGAAAACUGCCUAUAAAUGCCUCUUUUUAUAGUUUAAACCCUAAAUAUGGUAUGUCUCUCACAGUUACAUAAUUUAAUAAAACACUGUGUUAAUAAAACCUUAGAAUGUGCAGGGCAUUUUGCCACAUCUUAGGGAUCUUAGGGAUUUAAGAAGAACAAAACCAAGAACACUGGAGAUAGCUACAGGUGGUACAGCAACCUGUUACCAUGCAGGAAUGUUGGUGCAUCUGCCAGAGAUGGGGAACAGGGCAGCAGCCAGUCAGCAACAAGGAGAACUGAAUAAUGGUCUCAGAUUGGCUACUUGGAAAUCUCCUGCCAAAAAAACAAUUGUGGAGGAUAUUUGUGGUUUCUGCAAAAUUGCUGGGGUUUCCAUGAACAAUUAUUAAUUAGGUUCUAAGGGAAAAUCCACGAAGGACUCAGCCCGCAAAAUCUGAACCACAACUUCACAGGGUAUACUGUACACAUGUGCACUUCUUUCUUAGAAUAAGAAAAAUUUUCCUAUAAUUCAUUUAACUUUAGAGAAGCUUGUAAAUUCUGAU